ensembl:lncRNA
UGAAGUUGUGCUGUUCUUUGACUGCAUCUGGUACUGCUGCUGCUACUACUUCAGUGAUAUGUUGUGUGUUUACUUUCUUCAGACAUAAUGAAGAGAGCACAACAAACCCUGUUCCCCUUUGGGAAGAAGAUAGUGAGGCAAGAAGAGGACGAGAGGGGGAGAAAAGGAAAGAAAGUGAGUCUACAUGCCUGGUGACUGGCUGCCGGCCCUCAUCUACUGGCUCUGACGGCCUUCAUCUCUCCACAUCUGUACUGUACUCUGCUGUCCCUGCUCUCUCGAAGGUUGGUCAACACACACACACACACAGUUACAAAUACACAUUUUCUUAUGGACCCGCCCGCUGAAUCUUUGCUCAUAUUCGGCCCAAUUAUGACCUCAGUAUUUCUAAAAUCCUGGUUACAGCCCUGUGCAGUAUGUUUGCAUUAUCUUACUA